UUUCCGUAGGUGAACCUGCGGAAGGAUCAUUAAUAAAUGGCGAAGCUCGAAAGAGUCUAAGCUUUAUAUUAUUCCAUAACACCUGUGAACUAUUUGCCUUCUUGUCAUGAGAAGGUACAACCUAUACAAACAUAACUGUAAUGAAUGUAAUCUAUUAUAACAUAAUACAACUUUCAACAACGGAUCUCUUGGCUCUCGCAUCGAUGAAGAACGCAGC
rnacentral:misc_RNA from 1 species